GACGAACGCUGGCGGCGUGCUUGACACAUGCAAGUCGAACGGAAAGGCCUGCUUUCCCUUGUGGAUUGCGGGUACUCGAGUGGCGAACGGGUGAGUAACACGUGAGUGAUCUGCCCCCAACUUGGGUAUAAGCCUGGGAAACUGGGUCUAAUUCCCGAUAGGACUGCAGGGUGGUGCCUGUGGUGGAAAACGAUUUUCUAGUGGUUGGGGAUGAGCUCGCGGCCUAUCAGCUUGUUGGUGGGGUAAUGGCCUACCAAGGCGGCGACGGGUAGCCGGCCUGGGAGGGUGGACGGCCACAUUGGGACUGGGAUACGGCCCAGACUCCUACGGGAGGGAGCAGUGGGGCAUAUUGCACCAUGGGCGGAAGCCUGAUGCAGCGACGCCGCGUGGGGGAUGACGGCCUUCGGGUUGUAAACUCCUUUCGACCGCGAGGAAGCCACCUGGUUGGAAGGGUGGUGACGGUAGUGGUAGAAGAAGCACCGGCUAACUACGUG
rnacentral:rRNA from 1 species